rnacentral:rRNA from 1 species
GUGGGGAAUAUUGGACAAUGGGGGGAACCCUGAUCCAGCCAUGCCGCGUGUGUGAAGAAGGCCUUUUGGUUGUAAAGCACUUUAAGCGAGGAGGAGGCUACCGAGAUUAAUACUCUUGGAUAGUGGACGUUACUCGCAGAAUAAGCACCGGCUAACUCUGUGCCAGCAGCCGCGGUAAUACAGAGGGUGCAAGCGUUAAUCGGAUUUACUGGGCGUAAAGCGCGCGUAGGUGGUCAAUUAAGUCAAAUGUGAAAUCCCCGAGCUUAACUUGGGAAUUGCAUUCGAUACUGGUUGGCUAGAGUAUGGGAGAGGAUGGUAGAAUUCCAGGUGUAGCGGUGAAAUGCGUAGAGAUCUGGAGGAAUACCGAUGGCGAAGGCAGCCAUCUGGCCUAAUACUGACACUGAGGUGCGAAAGCAUGGGGAGCAAACAGGAUUAGAAACCCCUGUAGUCC